CCUACGGGUGGCAGCAGGGAGGAAUAUUGGGCAAUGGGCGCGAGCCUGAACCAGCCAAGGAGCGUGAAGGAUGACGGCCCUACGGGGUGUAAACUUCUUUUAUAAAGGAAUAAAGUGAGGCACGUGUGCCUUUUUGUAUGUACUUUAUGAAUAAGGAUCGGCUAACUCCGUGCCAGCAGCCGCGGUAAUACGGAGGAUCCGAGCGUUAUCCGGAUUUAUUGGGUUUAAAGGGAGCGUAGGUGGGUUGGUAAGUCAGUGGUGAAAGUUUGCGGCUCAACCGUAAAAUUGCACUUGAUACUGGCAGCCUUGAGUUCAGUUGAGGUCGGCGGAAUUCGUGGUGUAGCGGUGAAACGCUUAGAUAUCACGAAGAACUCCGAUUGCGAAGGCAGCCUACUAGACUGCAACUGACAUUGAUGCUCGAAAGUGUGGGUAUCAAACAGGAUUAGCUACCCCAGUAGUC
rnacentral:rRNA from 1 species